UACCAGCACCCCGAGUGGUCGGGACGUUUAUUGGGCCUAAAGCAUCCGUAGCCGGUUCUACAAGUCUUCCGUUAAAUCCAGCUGCUUAACAGAUGGGCUGCGGAAGAUACUAUGGAGCUAGGAGGCGGGAGAGGCAAGCGGUACUCGAUGGGUAGGGGUAAAAUCCGUUGAUCCAUUGAAGACCGCCAGUGGCGAAGGCGGCUUGCCAGAACGCGCUCGACGGUGAGGGAUGAAAGCUGGGGGAGCGAACAGG
rnacentral:rRNA from 1 species